rnacentral:tRNA from 2 species
CAAGGAAUAGUUUAAGUAGAAUAUCAGCUUUGGGUGUUGAUGGUGGAACUUGGGUUUCUUCCUUGA